GGUGGCUCAAUGGUAGAGUGCUUGCCUUGCAUGCAUGAGGCCCUGGGUUCAAUUUCUCAGGACCACCU
rfam:Dipodomys ordii contig_1447, whole genome shotgun sequence.